GCGAGGUGGGGCGAGGCGGAAAAUAAUCAAUAAAUCAUACGCCUGUCUACAGAUAGUUACAGAUGUACCUAAAUCUGCAUUUUCAGCCAACAAAUUAUUCAACUGAAAAAUUUUAUCCUGUACUCUUUGAGGAGAACAUUCAUCAUUUCACCCAUCUAGAGGUGGCCCUUUACAUGUGAGGAGCAAGAAUGGCAGAUAAAAUCAAGCUGUGUCUCCUGCUGAUCGGAAAAUGCAGAAAGGGCCCUGAUCUGGAUGUGUGAGAGAGGGAGCACAGAAACCUCUGAAAUGGCCACCAGACAGAUCAGUUUGCUCUGACCUCUUGAAUUAAAAGAGAGAUGUAGGAAGGAAGAACUUUUACAUGAUAAGAGCAGGAGCCUAUGCUGCACGUUCUGGAUCAAAACAGGAAAUGUUUGCCGGCACUAUCCCUUUCUCUCUGUGUUGCAGCUUCCUGAUGACCAAACUUUCGAAGGUAUGUUCUCUCUUGACCUCUGCCCUCCAGGUUAUCAUGAGGCUAAAACAAGCUUGUUAUCCCUUCAUUUAUUUGUUCACAGGGAGACUGAAGAACUGUGUAAUGGAUAGAGGGGAAGAGGGUAAUACAGAGAUUAACACUGCUUGUCUUUUCAUCCCUCUCCCCUUACUUUUCUCCUUGGUUAGUUGUUUUUCUCAGUACAAUGAUGAGGUCAGUAUCCAAACUUACUCUUGAGUUUUUCUUGGCCAAUUCACUUUGGAUCCCUAGUGUUCUUUCUUUUCAGCAACAAGUCAUGGUUUGAUCCCUCAGUGCCCAUGUGAUUACAGAAAAAACUAUAUUCUGGAUGAGUCCAUAGAAGGCCUUGAACAGUGAAGUCACCUCUUCCCUCAGCCUGCCAGUUCAACUAGCCUUGCUGACUGUGGGAAACCACCAGCACCUAUUGGUGUCAUCCCCAGACUUGCUGAGGGUGCAUUGCAUGCUGCUGCCUGGACUAAUUGUGAAGAUGCUCAAUAGCAAGAGCCCCAGCAGAUCUACUGACAGAUGUCACCCCUAGCUGAUUGCUGCCUGCACAUUAAAGUGUUGUCCCCUACUCUUUAAUCCUGUUAUCCAGCACAAAUUCUUGUUCCCCUGGCCUGACCUUAUUUCUAGGUUGGUUGUGAGAAUACUGCAUAUCAAAAGCCUUGUGAAAGUCUGAAUAUACUUCAAUAUUUUUAACCUUGACAUUCAUUUUUUAUGUAUUUUCUACUUUAAAAAGCUAAAUAUUUUUAAAGGGCAUA